rnacentral:rRNA from 1 species
AGAGUUUGAUCAUGGCUCAGAAUGAACGUUGGCGGCGUGGAUUAGGCAUGCAAGUCGAGCGAGAACCCCGCAAGGGGGGACAGCGGCGAAAGGGACAGUAAUGUGUAGAUCAUCUGCCCUCAGGCCCGGGAUAGCUGCGGGAAACUGCAGGUAAUACCGGAUAACAUCUCCGGAUCAAAGGUGUGAUUCCGCCUGAGGAUGAGUCUACAUCCUAUUAGCUAGUUGGUAGGGUAAUGGCCUACCAAGGCUUUGAUGGGUAGCGGGUGUGAGAGCACGACCCGCGUCAUUGGGACUGAGACACUGCCCAGACACCUACGGGUGGCUGCAGUCGAGAAUCUUCGGCAAUGGGCGCAAGCCUGACCGAGCGACGCCGCGUGUGGGAUGAAGGCCUUCGGGUUGUAAACCACUGUCAGAGGGGAUGAAAUGCAGGUGGGUUCUCCCAUCUGUUUGACAUAGCCUCAGAGGAAGGACGGGCUAAGUUCGUGCCAGCAGCCGCGGUAAGACGAACCGUCCGAACGUUAUUCGGAAUCACUGGGCUUAAAGGGUGCGUAGGCGGCGCGGAAAGUUGGGUGUGAAAUCCCUCGGCUCAACCGAGGAACUGCGCCCAAAACUACCGUGCUCGAGGGAGAUAGAGGUGAGCGGAACUUAGGGUGGAGCGGUGAAAUGCGUUGAUAUCCUAAGGAACACCGGUGGCGAAAGCGGCUCACUGGAUCUCUUCUGACGCUGAGGCACGAAAGCUAGGGUAGCGAACGGGAUUAGAUACCCNNGUAGUCC